rnacentral:rRNA from 1 species
AGCUGCAGGCUUAAUACAUGCAAGUCGAGGGGUAACAGAGAGUGCUUGCACUCUGCUGACGACCGGCGCACGGGUGCGUAACGCGUAUGCAACCUACCUUUUACAGAGGGAUACCCAAGAGAAAUUUUGAAUAAUACCUCAUAAGCUCUAUUUGUAUCAUUAUUUAUAGAGGAAAACUUCGGUGGUAAUUGAUGGGCAUGCGUCCUAUUAGUUUGUUGGUAAGGUAACGGCUUACCAAGACUACGAUAGGUAGGGGUCCUGAGAGGGAGAUCCCCCACACUGGUACUGAGACACGGACCAGACUUCUACGGAAGGCAGCAGUAAGGAAUAUUGGACAAUGGAGGAAACUCUGAUCCAGCCAUGCAGCGUGCAGGAAGAAUGCCCUAUGGGUUGUAAACUGCUUUUAUACAGGAAGAAACUUUUCCACGUGUGGGAAACUGACGGUACUGUACGAAUAAGGAUCGGCUAACUCCGUGCCAGCAGCCGCGGUAAUACGGAGGAUCCAAGCGUUAUCCGGAAUUAUUGGGUUUAAAGGGUCCGCAGGCGGUUUGUUAAGUCAGAGGUGAAAUCCUACCGCUCAACGGUAGAAUUGCCUUUGAUACUGAUAGACUUGAGUUAUUGUGAAGUAGUUAGAAUGUGUGGUGUAGCGGUGAAAUGCAUAGAUAUUACACAGAAUACCAAUUGCGAAGGCAGAUUACUAACAAUACACUGACGCUGAGGGACGAAAGCGUGGGUAGCGAACAGGAUUAGAUACCCUGGUAGUCCACGCCGUAAACGAUGGUCACUAGCUGUUUGACCAACAUUGGUUGGUUGAGUGGCUAAGCGAAAGUGAUAAGUGACCCACCUGGGGAGUACGGUCGC